UGGAGUAUAACAUAAUAUUAAAUGUUUUUCAUUUACACUGAAAAUAUGACUAUAAGAAGUCUGCUCUAA
rnacentral:tRNA from 1 species